GACGAACGCUGGCGGCGUGCUUAACACAUGCAAGUCGAACGGAAAGGCCCUGCUUUUGUGGGGUGCUCGAGUGGCGAACGGGUGAGUAACACGUGAGGAACCUGCACUUUACUUUGGGAUAACUUCAGGAAACUGGGGCUCAUAUCGGAUAGGAGCUACUGCAGCAUGGUGUGGGUUGGAAAGAUUCGGCGGUGGGGGAUCGACUCGCGGCUUAUCAGCUUGAUGGUGAGGUAGUGGCUUACCAAGGCUUUGACGGGUAGCCGGCCUGAGAGCGUGAACGGCCUCAUUAGUACUAAGAAACGGCCCAGAAUGCAACGGGCGGCAGCAGUGGGGAACAUUACACAACAGGCCGCAGUCUGAUGCAGCAACGCCCCGUGCGCGAAAACGGCCUAUGGGUUGUAAACCGUUGUCGCCGUUAACGAACCGUGAUUGACGGUAAUGGGUAAGGAAGCACCGGCUAACUACGUG
rnacentral:rRNA from 1 species